ACACUAUUGUUAUUCCUGUCCUUUAUUAUUAUUAUUAUUCUACUUAUUCCGCUCACUUUUUUGACGCUUAACUAGUUCCACAUACUUCAACCGAUUCACUCCAUUCCACUUUUCACUUAUUCCAAAUAUUCAUGACACGGCUGCUUACAUUUUUUUCGUUC